rnacentral:rRNA from 1 species
UGGGGAAUAUUGGACAAUGGGCGAAAGCCUGAUCCAGCCAUGCCGCGUGUGUGAAGAAGGUCUUCGGAUUGUAAAGCACUUUAAGUUGGGAGGAAGGGCAUUAACCUAAUACGUUAGUGUUUUGACGUUACCGACAGAAUAAGCACCGGCUAACUCUGUGCCAGCAGCCGCGGUAAUACAGAGGGUGCAAGCGUUAAUCGGAAUUACUGGGCGUAAAGCGCGCGUAGGUGGUAUGUUAAGUUGGAUGUGAAAUCCCCGGGCUCAACCUGGGAACUGCAUUCAAAACUGACUGACUAGAGUAUGGUAGAGGGUGGUGGAAUUUCCUGUGUAGCGGUGAAAUGCGUAGAUAUAGUAAGGAACACCAGUGGCGAAGGCGACCACCUGGACUAAUACUGACACUGAGGUGCGAAAGCGUGGGGAGCAAACA